rnacentral:misc_RNA from 1 species
AACAAAACUAAAACAAGUAAGAAAAUAGGAUAGAACAAUCAUAUGCAUGUUUUUAAAGAUAUAGCCCUUUCACAUUAGCACCAACCUAGUCAAAACCUACAAAAAGUUAUAUACAACUUAAUCUUGAAGACUGAGGGGGAGGCCAUCUGAGCAGGAGAAAGCUGACAUGACAUCAACAAGAAGCACAAGGAGUGAAAAAAAUAAAGGGGAAAAGGGGAGCCCACCUCCUCUCUAUUUAGUGGGUUGAAAGAGUGUUUUCAAAAGAGUUAUGAAUGAUAUGCAAGACAAAGAAGCAU